rnacentral:rRNA from 1 species
CGGGCCCGGGCGGCGUGCCUAUACAUGCAAGUCGAACGAACUCUGGUAUUGAUUGGUGCUUGCAUCAUGAUUUACAUUUGAGUGAGUGGCGAACUGGUGAGUAACACGUGGGAAACCUGCCCAGAAGCGGGGGAUAACACCUGGAAACAGAUGCUAAUACCGCAUAACAACUUGGACCGCAUGGUCCGAGCUUGAAAGAUGGCUUCGGCUAUCACUUUUGGAUGGUCCCGCGGCGUAUUAGCUAGAUGGUGGGGUAACGGCUCACCAUGGCAAUGAUACGUAGCCGACCUGAGAGGGUAAUCGGCCACAUUGGGACUGAGACACGGCCCAAACUCCUACGGGAGGCAGCAGUAGGGAAUCUUCCACAAUGGACGAAAGUCUGAUGGAGCAACGCCGCGUGAGUGAAGAAGGGUUUCGGCUCGUAAAACUCUGUUGUUAAAGAAGAACAUAUCUGAGAGUAACUGUUCAGGUAUUGACGGUAUUUAACCAGAAAGCCACGGCUAACUACGUGCCAGCAGCCGCGGUAAUACGUAGGUGGCAAGCGUUGUCCGGAUUUAUUGGGCGUAAAGCGAGCGCAGGCGGUUUUUUAAGUCUGAUGUGAAAGCCUUCGGCUCAACCGAAGAAGUGCAUCGGAAACUGGGAAACUUGAGUGCAGAAGAGGACAGUGGAACUCCAUGUGUAGCGGUGAAAUGCGUAGAUAUAUGGAAGAACACCAGUGGCGAAGGCGGCUGUCUGGUCUGUAACUGACGCUGAGGCUCGAAAGUAUGGGUAGCAAACAGGAUUAGAUACCCUGGUAGUCCAUACCGUAAACGAUGAAUGCUAAGUGUUGGAGGGUUUCCGCCCUUCAGUGCUGCAGCUAACGCAUUAAGCAUUCCGCCUGGGGAGUACGGCCGCAAGGCUGAAACUCAAAGGAAUUGACGGGGGCCCGCACAAGCGGUGGAGCAUGUGGUUUAAUUCGAAGCUACGCGAAGAACCUUACCAGGUCUUGACAUACUAUGCAAAUCUAAGAGAUUAGACGUUCCCUUCGGGGACAUGGAUACAGGUGGUGCAUGGUUGUCGUCAGCUCGUGUCGUGAGAUGUUGGGUUAAGUCCCGCAACGAGCGCAACCCUUAUUAUCAGUUGCCAGCAUUAAGUUGGGCACUCUGGUGAGACUGCCGGUGACAAACCGGAGGAAGGUGGGGAUGACGUCAAAUCAUCAUGCCCCUUAUGACCUGGGCUACACACGUGCUACAAUGGAUGGUACAACGAGUUGCGAACUCGCGAGAGUAAGCUAAUCUCUUAAAGCCAUUCUCAGUUCGGAUUGUAGGCUGCAACUCGCCUACAUGAAGUCGGAAUCGCUAGUAAUCGCGGAUCAGCAUGCCGCGGUGAAUACGUUCCCGGGCCUUGUACACACCGCCCGUC